AAGACCUUGCGCUUUUGGAGCGGCCGAUGUCUGAUUAGCUUGUUGGUGAGGUAAAAGCUUACCAAGGCUUCGAUCAGUAGCUGGUCUGAGAGGACGGCCAGCCACACUGGGACUGAGACACGGCCCAGACUCCUACGGGAGGCAGCAGUGGGGAAUUUUGGACAAUGGGGGCAACCCUGAUCCAGCCAUGCCGCGUGAGUGAAGAAGGCCUUCGGGUUGUAAAGCUCUUUCAGCCAGAACGAAACGGUUACGGUUAAUACCCGUGACUACUGACGGUACCGGAAGAAGAAGCACCGGCUAACUACGUGCCAGCAGCCGCGGUAAUACGUAGGGUGCAAGCGUUAAUCGGAAUUACUGGGCGUAAAGCGUGCGCAGGUGGUUUUGUAAGUCAGAUGUGAAAUCCCCGGGCUUAACCUGGGAACU
rnacentral:rRNA from 1 species